GACGAACGCUGGCGGCGUGCUUAACACAUGCAAGUCGAACGGAAAGGCUCCAGCUUGCUGGAGUACUCGAGUGGCGAACGGGUGAGUAACACGUGGGUAAUCUGCCCUGCACUCUGGGAUAAGCCUGGGAAACUGGGUCUAAUACUGGAAAUGACCUUUCUCCUUAUGGGGUUAGGUGGAAAGUUUUUCGGUGUAGGAUGAGCCCGCGGCCUAUCAGCUUGUUGGUGGGGUGAUGUCCUACCAAGGCGACGACGGGUAGCCGGCCUGGGAGGGUGAUCGGCCACGUUGGGUCUGAGAUGCGGCCCAGACUCCUACGGGAGGCAGCAGUGGGGAAUAUUGCACAAUGGGCGGAAGCCUGAUGCAGCGACGCCGCGUGGGGGAUGCCGGCCUUCGGGUUGCAAACCUCUUUCAGCAGGGACGAAGCGUAAGUGACGGUACCUGCAGAAGAAGCACCGGCUAACUAUGUG
rnacentral:rRNA from 1 species